GUGCUCACUUGGGCAACACAUACACUAAAAUUGGAACUAUACAGGGAAGAUUAGCAUGGCCCCUGAGCAAGGAUGACAUGCAAAUACAUGAGACGUUCCAUAUUUUU
ensembl:snRNA U6 U6 spliceosomal RNA